GCGCUGGUUAUAAAGGAAAAGGACGACAUCGGGCCCCACCGUGCACUGCCACAAACUAUGGAUCCAGAUAUUACCCCGAUGGAAAGCCAUACACGGGAUAUGCUGUGACUACCUUGGAGGAAGUUGUGAGACAUGGAUCACUACUACCUGGAUGUUCUGCACAAGAGGCAGAGCUGAAAGCACUCACUGAGGCACUCAAUAAGUUCCAUUCCAGAUCCUUCUUCAUUGGAAGGGACUCAUGUGUUGAAACCUGCAGAUUGGGUUACGGUCAAAAGGCAUGUGAGAAAGGCUUUGAAUCCUCGGUUUGAUGGGCCAUUCCAAGUCCAGCUAACUAUUCCCACCUCUGUGAAAUUGGAGGGGAGACCAACAUGGAUCCACGCCUCACACUGCAAGAAGUUGAUCAAAUUAUGAGGUUGGGAAAAAAUAUAUAAAUUACAGUGAUAAACGACCAACCCCCUCCCACACAAGUGAUGGUCACUAUGGCUCAGUUUUUCCCAGAACCUUCCGCUGCUGAACAGACAACAAUUGUACCACCUACUCUACUCAUAUCUACCUUGAACUACAAUUACACAUACUGUGGAAGGAAGGUUGUGGAAAGCCUAACUGAUUGCAUAUAUUGUGGGACUGAGUUAUGAAAAAACAAUAAUUAAAAGACUCAAUGACUGACAAAUUGGGCUCACUCUCAUAGUGCACCUUUCAAGGUGUGGAUUCCACUGGUUGUGUAGGUCCAGGGUUAGAUAGAAAAGAUGACUCCUGUAAAAGACCCUCUGAAAGGAUGCUUGAUAUCCCACAAUUUGUGAGAAUUAGUAUUUUACCACUUUGUGUAGGUAGGGCGGUCUUAACCCAGUCUCUAUAUAAGCUGGAGUCACGUAGCGAUGCACGCCAAUCUGCUCUUACUAGUGUAGGGAUAGGAUGCUGCUGCUGCUGUGAGGGAGAGAAUAGGACAGAAUCUUUAAUCUGAAG